UACGGGGGGAGCAAGCGUUGUUCGGAUUUACUGGGCGUAAAGGGCGCGUAGGCGGCCACCGCAAGUCAAUUGUGAAAUCUCCGGGCUUAACUCGGAAAGGUCAACUGAUACUGCGGGGCUAGGGUGCGGAAGGGGCAACUGGAAUUCUCGGUGUAGCGGUGAAAUGCGUAGAUAUCGAGAGGAACACCUGCGGCGAAGGCGGGUUGCUGGGCCGACACUGACGCUGAGGCGCGAAAGCCAGGGGAGCGAACAGG
rnacentral:rRNA from 1 species